rnacentral:rRNA from 1 species
GGUGCUGCAUGGCUGUCGCCAGCUCGUGUCGUGAGAUGUUGGGUUAAGUCCCGCAACGAGCGCAACCCCUAUCUUUAGUUGCCAUCAGGUUGGGCUGGGCACUCUAGAGAGACUGCCGGUGACAAGCCGGAGGAAGGUGGGGAUGACGUCAAGUCCUCAUGGCCCUUAUGUCCUGGGCUACACACGUGCUACAAUGGCGGUGACAGUGGGAAGCUAGGUGGUGACACCAUGCUGAUCUCUAAAAGCCGUCUCAGUUCGGAUUGCACUCUGCAACUCGAGUGCAUGAAGGUGGAAUCGCUAGUAAUCGCGGAUCANCAUGCCGCGGUGAAUACGUUCCCGGGUCUUGUACACAC